CUUGUGAGAUGCAAGACUGCCAGCAGGGUUGGGGCCAGUGGGUUCACCAAGUCAGGCAGCCUGUAAGAGAGGACCGGCUGUGAAGAACCAGGAGGGAGCGGGAGGGAGAGCAGAGCAGUUGUUAACAGCUUCCCUGGUAUGACCAGCUGGAUUCGGAGAAGCACAACAAAGUUGUAAAGUUCAGCAAAGAAGAUCUGAGGGCUUCACACAGGGACUUCACAUCAGAACUCUUCCAAACAACUGUUUUCUUGGACAUUUCCCAGAGCUUGAAAAAAAGGAAGAAGCAACAGCAGCCUAAGAUGGAUGUGGAGGUGCAUGGGGUUUGGGGGACCCCAAUGGAUGAGGACAUGAUGCUAGGAAGCAGGCUUUUGACAUAUAUUGACCCUCAAGCUCUGGAGUGAGGAAUGCAUGCUUGCAAGGGGGAAAAUAUAUUUCUUCUUAUCCUAUCAAAACACAAAACCACCAGCUGUAAAAAGAGGAGAGUCCACACGGAAGGUAGUACUGUCCCUGGUCACUACCCAAGACAAAUAUGAAACAUCACAUGAGGAAGAAGUGAUUUCUUUGCGCCAGAACUUCAAGAUAAAACAUCAAAGCAUUAAAACCACAGGACCUAGACAACCUGGAGGAAACAGAAGGCAGAGAUGUACCGGGGUGAUUAUAAUCAAAUGAGCAAAGCCUUUGGCUUGAAGUUCCCUGAUACAGCUCCAAAAUAGCAGAUAAGCACCUUUUAAAGGAACAAGGAAGUAUCAAGGAAAUACAUUUCCUGACCUGGAAAAUGGAGAAGAGGGCAUUGUGCAACACUGCACAAGGAAAUAACACAUUGAACAAGGCAUCAGGAUAUUCCACUUGAAUUAAAAUAGAGCUCAGAGUUUGCCUUGGGAUUUUUUUCAAUUUGGUGUUCCUGGAACUGAAUGGCUUUGGCAUUUGUGUUAACAACUUAUUUGCUACCUCUGUGGUUAAGUGGGCUUCAGAGUGAGACUUUCUGGAAUGCAAAUCUGCCUGGGAACACUUGAAUGACCACAGGCAAGUUCUUGAGCUUCUCCAGGCCUCUGUGCAUAUGGAC
rnacentral:lncRNA from 1 species